rnacentral:rRNA from 1 species
GUGAGGAAUAUUGGACAAUGGGCGCAAGCCUGAUCCAGCCAUGCCGCGUGCAGGAAGACGCAUCUAUGGUGUGUAAACUGCUUUUGUACGGGAAGAAACACUCCCUCGUGAGGGAGCUUGACGGUACCGUAAGAAUAAGGAUCGGCUAACUCCGUGCCAGCAGCCGCGGUAAUACGGAGGAUCCAAGCGUUAUCCGGAAUCAUUGGGUUUAAAGGGUCCGUAGGCGGUUUAAUAAGUCAGUGGUGAAAGCCCAUCGCUCAAUGAUGGAACGGCCAUUGAUACUGUUAGACUUGAAUUACAAGGAAGUAACUAGAAUAUGUAGUGUAGCGGUGAAAUGCUUAGAUAUUACAUGGAAUACCAAUUGCGAAGGCAGGUUACUACUUGUGGAUUGACGCUGAUGGACGAAAGCGUGGGGAGCGAACAGGAUUAGAAACCCUGGUAGUCC